rnacentral:rRNA from 1 species
UACAGAGGUCUCAAGCGUUGUUCGGAUUCAUUGGGCGUAAAGGGCGCGUAGGCGGACCGCCAAGUCGGGGGUGAAAUACUCCAGCUUAACUGGAGCACUGCCUUCGAUACUGGCGCCUUGAGGGCGAUAGGGGAGAGCGGAAUUCCUGGUGUAGCGGUGAAAUGCGUAGAGAUCAGGAGGAACACCGAUGGCGAAGGCAGCUCUCUGGGUCGGCCCUGACGCUGAGGCGCGAAAGCGUGGGGAGCGAACGGG